ensembl:snoRNA
UAGGACCUGAAUCAAGACAGGUGGUAGUUUGCCAUUGGAGCUGUUGGUUUCAAAUAAGAGCCAAGAUUGAUGUCUUUCUUACGGUCCAUUGGCUAAUCCCAAUGUGAACAGCCAAUUCAUUUGGAAGAAACAGUC